GGGGCUAAUACCGGAUAGGAGCUCCUGCUGCAUGGUGGGGGUUGGAAAGUUUCGGCGGUUGGGGAUGGACUCGCGGCUUAUCAGCUUGUUGGUGGGGUAGUGGCUUACCAAGGCUUUGACGGGUAGCCGGCCUGAGAGGGUGACCGGCCACAUUGGGACUGAGAUACGGCCCAGACUCCUACGGGAGGCAGCAGUGGGGAAUAUUGCACAAUGGGUGGAAGCCUGAUGCAGCAACGCCGUGUGCGGGAUGACGGCCUUCGGGUUGUAAACCGCUUUCGCUCAUGACGAAGCUUUGUGUGACGGUAGUGGGUAAAGAAGCACCGGCUAACUACGUGCCAGCAGCCGCGGUGAUACGUAGGGUGCGAGCGUUGUCCGGAUUUAUUGGGCGUAAAGGGCUCGUAGGUGGUUGAUCGCGUCGGAAGUGUAAUCUUGGGGCUUAACCCUGAGCGUGCUUUUGAUACGGGUUGACUUGAGGAAGGUAGGGGAGAAUGGAAUUCCUGGUGGAGCGGUGGAAUGCGCAGAUAUCAGGAGGAACACCGGUGGCGAAGGCGGUUCUCUGGGCCUUUCCUGACGCUGAGGAGCGAAAGCGUGGGGAGCGAACAGGCUUAGAUACCCUGGUAGUCCACGCUGUAAACGGUGGGUACUAGGUGUGGGGUCCAUUCCACGGGUUCCGUGCCGUAGCUAACGCUUUAAGUACCCCGCC
rnacentral:rRNA from 1 species